rnacentral:pre_miRNA from 1 species
UUAGUUCAUAUUUGUAUGAAAUGGGAUCGUUUGCGUACGUUUGCCGCUAGGGCCGCUGUUCCAACUGCAUACAAAAAUGGCUUA